UACAGGGGGUGCAAACGUUGCUCGGAAUUACUGGGCGUAAAGAGCGCGCAGGCGGUCGUUCAAGUCGCGUGUGAAAGCCCCCGGCUCAACUGGGGAGGGUCACGCGAUACUGAUCGACUCGAAGGCAGGAGAGGGUAGUGGAAUUCCCGGUGUAGUGGUGAAAUGCGUAGAUAUCGGGAGGAACACCAGUGGCGAAGGCGACUACCUGGCCUGUUCUUGACGCUGAGGCGCGAAAGCGUGGGGAGCAAACAGG
rnacentral:rRNA from 1 species